GCAGUCAUUACCCUACCUGACCGUUUGAUCUCUUUUUUUUCGGUUCAGGCAUUUCUUGCAUUACUUUUCUUUUUCUUUUUUUUUCUUUUUUCUUUUCUCUUUUUUUUUUUUGCAGGAUCGACCUCGAUUCCUCUUUAGUUCCUAAUAAGCCUCGACAACUUACCGGACAACACUCCACAAGUGCACUGAUUCGGACUCAAUAUCCGUCUGAGUUGUCUCAACCCGGUCAAACAACUUGCCCCGGAUUCCCCAGAUGCCCCACUUCUGCUUGGGACUUUGCCAUCAUGUCAUCAACAUGGCAUUUGAUUUCACGAUGAAUCAUAUCAUG
rnacentral:lncRNA from 1 species